CACUCCGGUGGCCUAGUGGUUAGAGAGUCCGCCUUGGAUGCGGGAGGUCGUGGAUUCGAUCUCAGGCUGAGUCA